rnacentral:rRNA from 1 species
CGCCCUUAGAGUUUGAUCAUGGCUCAGGACGAACGCUGGCGGCGUGCCUAAUACAUGCAAGUUGAGCGUUGGUACUUGUACCAAGAGCAGCGAACGGGUGAGUAACGCGUGGGGAAUCUGCCUUUGAGCGGGGGACAACAUUUGGAAACGAAUGCUAAUACCGCAUAAAAACUUAACACAAGUUUAAGUUGAAAGAUGAUUGCAUCACUCAAAGAUGAUCCCGCGUUGUAUUAGCUAGUUGGUGAGGUAAAGGCUCACCAAGGCGAUGAUACAUAGCCGACCUGAGAGGGUGAUCGGCCACAUUGGGACUGAGACACGGCCCAAACUCCUACGGGAGGCAGCAGUAGGGAAUCUUCGGCAAUGGACGAAAGUCUGACCGAGCAACGCCGCGUGAGUGAAGAAGGUUUUCGGAUCGUAAAACUCUGUUGGUAGAGAAGAACGUUGGUGAGGAAACUCAUCAAGUGACGGUAACUACCCAGAAAGGGACGGCUAACUACGUGCCAGCAGCCGCGGUAAUACGUAGGUCCCGAGCGUUGUCCGGAUUUAUUGGGCGUAAAGCGAGCGCAGUGGUUUAUUAAGUCUGGUGUAAAAGGCAGUGGCUCAACCAUUGUAUGCAUUGGAAACUGGUAGACUUGAGUGC